GAGUUUGAUCCUGGCUCAGAACAAACGCUGGCGGCGUGUCUUAAGCAUGCAAGUUGAGCGGCAAGGAGGAGAGAUCCUCCCUAGAGCGGCGGACUGGUGAGUAACGCGUGGGUAAUCUAUCUUAGGCAUGGGGAUAGUCACUAGAAAUAGUGGGUAAUACCGAAUAAGUUCCAUAAGGGGAGGACUUAUGGAAGAAAGGUGCUACGGCACUGGCCUUAGGUGAGCUCGCGUCCCAUUAGCUAGUUGGUGAGGUAAAGGCCCACCAAGGCGAUGAUGGGUAACCGGCCUGAGAGGGUGUACGGCCACACUGGGACUGAGAUACGGCCCAGACUCCUACGGGAGGCAGCAGCUAAGAAUAUUCCGAAUGGACGGAAGUCUGACGGAGCGACGCCGCGUGGAUGAAGAAGGCCGAAAGGUUGUAAAGUUCUUUUGCUAGGGGAGAAUAAGUGUGGGAGGGAAUGCCUGCACGAUGACAAGGACUAGCGAAUAAGUCCCGGCCAACUACGUGCCAGCAGCCGCGGUAACACGUAGGGGGCGAGCGUUGUUCGGAAUUACUGGGCGUAAAGGGCAUGUAGGCGGCUUGGUAAGCCUGGCGUGAAAGUCUGCAGCUUAACUGUAGGGAUGCGUUGGGAACUGCUUAGCUUGAGUUACGGAGAGGGAGCUGGAAUUCCUGGUGUAGGGGUGAAAUCUGUAGAUAUCAGGAAGAACACCGAUGGCGAAGGCAAGCUUCUGGCCGACAACUGACGCUGAGGUGCGAAAGUGUGGGGAUCAAACAGGAUUAGAUACCCUGGUAGUCCACACAG
rnacentral:rRNA from 1 species